rnacentral:rRNA from 1 species
AACGUAGGUGGCGAGCGUUAUCCGGAUUUACUGGGCGUAAAGCGUGUGCAGGCGGGGUGACAAGUGGUGUAUGAAAUCUCCGGGCUAAACCUGGAGGGGUUAUGCCAGACUGUCAUUCUAGAGUGCGAGAGAGGGGCGUGGAAUUCCGGGUGUAGUGGUGAAAUGCGUAGAUAUCAGGAGGAACACCUGCGGUGUAGACGGCUUACUGGACCAUAAACUGACGCUGAGGCACGAAAGCCGUGGGUAGCAAACAGG